rnacentral:snoRNA from 1 species
CUGUCCUGAGCGUGAAGCUGGCUCUAGGUGUCAUUUCUGCAAUUACCUUUUGUCAUUGAUGAUUGUUCUCCUGUGGGGGAGUAAGAGGGAGAG